GAUGAACGCUGGCGGCGUGCCUAAUACAUGCAAGUCGAGCGAACAGACGAGGAGCUUGCUCCUCUGACGUUAGCGGCGGACAGGUGAGUAACACGUGGAUAACCUACCUAUAAGACUGGGAUAACUUCGGGAAACCGGAGCUAAUACCGGACAAUAUAUUGAACCGCAUGGUUCAAUAGUGAAAGACGGUUUUGCUGUCACUUAUAGAUGGAUCCGCGCCGCAUUAGCUAGUUGGUAAGGUAACGGCUUACCAAGGCAACGAUGCGUAGCCGACCUGAGAGGGUGAUCGGCCACACUGGAACUGAGACACGGUCCAGACUCCUACGGGAGGCAGCAGUAGGGAAUCUUCCGCAAUGGGCGAAAGCUUGACGGAGCAACGCCGCGUGAGUGAUGAAGGUCUUCGGAUCGUAAAACUCUGUUAUUAGGGAAGAACAAAUGUGUAAGUAACUAUGCACGUCUUGACGGUACCUAAUCAGAAAGCCACGGCUAACUACGUG
rnacentral:rRNA from 1 species